UGGGCCCUUUCCCCCCUCCCCCCACUCCGCCAGUACCCCUAGUGUCCAGGACUUUUAGUAUGUUUAUGAACUAGUUACUCUGUACACGUUUCCGAAAAAAAAUCUCACGAUUCCGCUCACGCACUCUAGACCCCCCUUUGAGCGAUUCAUUCAAUGGACUAAACGCAUAAUAACAAAAAAUAACA